rnacentral:lncRNA from 1 species
CAGAGCUAUGCCCGCAUAAAGGGCACGGCCGCGGCCGCAGAGGAAGCAGCUGGAUGCGCAGGGCCGGGAGCGUUAAGCGGGGCACGCGGAAAGCGAAACUAGGCUGGAAUAAGACUUUACCCCCUGCCUGGCUGGAUUCCUCCCCUGAGGGAAUCCUGCCCCUCUCCUCUAACCAGGGUACCGGCUUCGGCCUCGAUUCCCGGAUCGGGGCCCGGCCCCCGCGAGGGAAACCACCGACCAGAUUACUCGCGCCUCCCGCUCAACCCGCGGCCCGGGCGCCGCUCCGUGACGUCCGCUGUGCUCCGGGCAUUUCUCUCUUUUUAGGGCGCGGGAAAAGGGCGGGUAGGUGUUGCUGGUGAGAGCCAGGUGAAGCUCACAGCUGGGGGCUAUGGAUAGCGACAUCUGCCGAGAGCUCUGGAGUCACCAUCCUCAGAACCUCAGCUGCCCAACCGAAAGCGAAUCCGCCGGCUCCGGGGCGGGGACAGGGGAGAUCGGGCGCGCACCGGGGACGUCCCCACCCCCAGCCCACCCGGAUCCUAAAUGCAGCCUGUCUUUACCUCCCAGGAAGAUAAGUCCUCCUGGCUCAUGCAUCGUAACAAUAGCUGACAUUUAUAGAGGUCCAACCUGGUGCCAGGUACUGAGCUAAGUGUGUCCGUGGAUUGGUCCAUUAAAUGCUCAAAACAAUCUCACGCGAUGUUUACUACGAUUGUCCUCGUUUUACAGAUGAGCCAAACGAGGCGCGGGAGUUACCCAGCUAAGUGGGGGAGGGGCGGGCGGAAUUGUCUUCUGCCACUACUCUUGUUUUGUUUGGUUUGGUUUGGUUUGGUUUUUGUUUUGUUUUGAUUUGAUUGAGUUAUAGUCAGUUUGCAAUGUGUCAAUUUCUGGUGUACAGCACAAUUUUUCAGCCACUGCCACUACUCUUUAUAGCUCGGAAGUCCCCUAGAAGCAUGGACUCUGGAAGGUCUGGGAGGACCCUGGGAAAUAACAAUAUUAAUAUUAAAAUAAUUACUAACAUGGGUUGAGCACUUACUAUGUUUCAAGCACUGAUUUCUUUCAUUCUGUCAUUAAGCCUAGGAGCUAAGCCCCCAUUUUACAGUUGCAAUUUAAUAGAUGGUAAAACAGGCUCAGAGAUGGUCCCUAAAUUGCCAAAAUCACACAGUUGAAAUACAAGCCCACUUCUAUUGUGACCCCAGGGCUUCAGCUUAUUCUCAGCCCCCUUGUUUUACAGGAAGGUCAGAGAAGUGACUGCGUCGUUAUGGACAACAAGUUGGGCCAGAAGUCCAGGGAUCUUGUCUCUGACCUCCAGGGACAUAAAGGCUUGUUAGGAGUCAUGCGCAUCUGUUGGUACCCAGAUCUAGCCAGGAAUGUUUACUGCUUAGUUC